UUUCUUUUCUUCCAAUACAGAGAGAAGAAACUGAAAGCUAGAGUGCAGGAGCUGGUGAGUGCUUUGGAGAGGCUCACAAAGAGCAGUGAAAUCAGACAUCAGCAAUCUGCAGAAUUUGUUAAUGACCUGAAAAGGGCAAACAGCAACUUGGUAGCAGCAUAUGAAAAAGCAAAGAAAAAACAUCAAAAUAAGCUGAAGAAAUUGGAAUCGCAAAUGAUGGCCAUGGUGGAGAGACAUGAAACACAAGUCAGGAUGCUCAAACAAAGAAUAGCUUUGCUAGAAGAAGAAAACUCUAGACCACACACAAAUGAAACUUCACUUUAAAUGCAUCUCUUUCAAAGAUCCUAGUGCCAUCACAAAUCUCUUUAUUUUGGAGGCUGGCUGUUAGGUUGCUUCAGUGCUGAGGUCUGACCUAUCAACACAGGCACAGUUCAGCACCAUCUCUCAGAUCUCAGCUGUCCAGCCAGGAGUUAUGGGGAUAAUCUAAGCAUUAACUAAGGACUGUUUAAUAAUGUAAAAUGGCAGUGCCUGAAUUAUCAUGCUAUAAUUAUGUUAAUUUCUGUGUCAUUAUGUCUUUACUCAUACAGGUUCUCUUCCAUUUUAUGUCCUAUGGAUGAUAGUAGGACAUAGGAAAAUAAUGUUGAUAGGUUUUAAUUGGGGCAGGUUGCAGGUAAUCUGAGUUUUUCUGAUUUCCAAGUCCCUCUGCACACGGCUGUACUCAAGACACAUUUAGAUGGUUAAGCAAUCUAAACAGAAGGCUGCAGUUCAGGAAGCUCAUAGGCUUAUUUGCUUUGUGCCUCCACAGUAGCAUGACUGUUAACUAACAGUGCUGAUAAUGUAGGAAAGCUGCUUUUGAUUGGGGAGGGGAUUAAACAGUUUUUAAAACAAGUUGCAUCUCUUCAGAGGAUGGUUUAUUUCAUAUAAGUCUGUAAGGUAAGUUUUACCAUGCCAGAUAAAUAGUCUGUGCCAAGGUUGGUUCAGAGAUUACAAGCCAUCACCUGGUACUUAUUUACAUUGCACGGUGUUUGUUUGCAAGUAAUUUGUGAAAGUUGAGUUUUCUUGUCAGUACAUUAUAGCCAGAAUUUUCCGUAAGAGGGUAAGCAGCCUUUGUCACCUAUAGAGAUUUUAGUGCAUCUUUCUUUUGUCAUGAGGUAGAAUGACAUCUUUUAAUACUUUUAACCAAAAGGAACUUAGUAGAAAUGUACCUGUUUCAUAUUGAAUGCAUACACACAAAACUAUAAAUGUGUAGAUUUAUGGAUGUACAGCCACAAACAGAAUGUGAAUGAGAUCUUCAUAGAGCUUUAUAGGUUAACUUCUGUUACUUUUACUGUUCUUUUGUUUAAGCCACAUCAUCUUAGUGCAUUAUCAUGUGAAUUAGUUGAGAGAUGCUGGCCUAUUGUGUUAAGUGGAGCAUGGGGAUUGGGUUGAUUUCUUGACAGAGCAAAGAUGGGAGACUGCUCUAGUUCCCAUUUUAAAUGGACUUUGUUUUUCUUGACUGAGUACUGAAGACAGUUUCCUUGUUUACAUUUGUUUUUAGUUUGGCUAAACAUUAACAUUGUAAGCCUGUUGCUGUUACUCUUGUACUUUGCAUUUUUCAAGCUCAGUUCUCUCCAGUAAGUCAGACUUCAGGAGUUGUCCAUCAUUGUUUUUAUGUGCUGAAUUGCACCUCAAGUUCUAUUAUAUGUAGAAUUACAAAAAGUUCUCUUAUUUUAGUCCUUAUUUUAGUUUGAACAAUUUCUAGUGCAAGCAAAGUAUUUUUAGAGGAUUGGUUUUAUCUAGUAGUGGCUUAGGCUUACAGGCAUGAAAAUUUCUGUUCAGAAUAACAGUGUUGUUAAGUGGUGUUUUCAACUUAAUCUGAUCAUUGCACCUCUGAUUUAAUUACUGGCAUCUGUUUUUACUUACUGACAAACAUACCUGGCAAAUUCCUAAAGCAUGCUGAAGGUAAUUUCUAUUCUGCUCUACUGUGGCUGUCAUUUUCUUCUUUCCUUAGAGUAGUAAUGAUUAUUUAUACUUCACCAGAAUGUGAUAGAUCAGCAACAAAGCCAGCACCCUAAGUGGUGGAUUGCAGCAGCACAUUAAAACAAUGCUGGUUUCAAAACUGAGUUGUAAGUAGUGAUGCCCUGGGGUUGGGUUAGAUCAGUCCGUUCUGUCAAGCUAAUUGUACUUCUUAAUUUAUAAUGCAAAUGGAUAUUUUUGAAACCAGACUAUUGAGAGGAUAAUGUUGCUCUGGUUUUGCUAAAUGUCCUGGUUAUCCUGGUUAUCCUUGGUCAACAAGUUUCUUGUCAACAGCACUUUUGUUUUCGCCAUGUAGCUGAUCACACUUGUGUCUGAAGUACACAGCUGAUCAUUUUCUAUGCCAUUUACAGUUUUGUCUUCUUGGAUCUAGGACACCCAUUUAGUGUAAGGUCAUCUCAAAUUGUCAGAGUGAAAUAAACCUGUCACUUUAAGAUAGUUAGACAGUACUCUUACACAGGCUUUCCUCAUGCCCUAUUUUCUAUUCCUUGGUAGCUGAAGAAGCCAUCAAGUUCAUGUAAUGCAAUAAAGCUUAAAGCAUUUGAACCUGUCUUUAUAGGAAAGAUGUACAUUAGAAAGCAUAGAAAGUUGCAGUGUUGUUUGCAGUCUUCCUAAGGCCUAAUGAUUUGCUGGUUCUGCACAAACAGAAUGUUGUUCUACUCCAUUUACUGUGGAUCUUCCCUACCAAGAGCGCUCUAAGUGUUCCACAACAAACUAUAAAUCAUUAACUGCAUAUAAGCCACAUUCCUUUUCUUCCCAUAGGAAUUAAGUAGGACAGCAAGACUGGUAUCAGACAGCCUCAGCAGCAGCUGUAAAUUGCCAAAACAAAAGUAACUUUGCCUAAACCAUCAGCUACUGCUUGUCAGUAUUCUAUAGUAGACCAGCAGGGACACGGUGAAGGGCUUGCUGGUAUUGUGGAAACUGUUAUCUCUGAUUAAAAUGGCACCACUCCCGCGACUGAGAAUUGAGAAGCAAGUUGCAAGUUGCCUUUAAGUAAGUGAACUGGUAGCACACCAAUGUAUGGACGAGUACUUUAUCACUGACACAAAUCACCCUGAGUGACCUAACACUUAAUUCACCUAACACUUGUGGAAUUAAUACGUUAGCAAAGCAAGAAAAAUAGUUUAUCUUGGCAAGAACCACAUAUGUUUUUCACUCAUUAAUUAAUCUUAGGGUGUCUUAUUUCCUAAUUGCUGCAGUGCAUGAAACUUUUUAUUUCUUUGUGUUCCGGAAAAAGUACUUUUUUUUCUAACUAAGCAUAUAAAUCUUCACCAGCUUGAAUGUACUGUUAGCUAUAGCACAUGUCUAAAAUUGCAUUAAUGUCAGUAUUGUUCUGUUUUUAUUAGAAGUUUCUCAUUUAAAACCUCAUUUAAUACUGUACCAUACAUUGUAAUUUUAGAAUCUUUUCACCUUGCUGAAAUAGCUUUAAAUGUGUUGCUGGUUUUUAGUCUCCUAGCUGCUGUAAAAUAGCUAUUUUGUGUUUAUUUGAUAUAGAACUGUAAAAACUGCAUCUAUUUAUACAGAGACAUUUAUAAUACUUAUUUUACAAAUGUUCUUAUAUUCUGAAUAAAUUCCUAAAGCUGUUUCUUUUC